UACGGAGGGUGCAAGCGUUACUCGGAAUCACUGGGCGUAAAGAGCGCGUAGGCGGGAUAGCAAGUCAGAUGUGAAAUCCGCGGGCUCAACUCGCGAACUGCAUUUGAAACUGCUUCCCUUGAGUAUCGGAGAGGUAAUCGGAAUUCCUAGUGUAGCGGUGAAAUGCGUAGAUAUUAGGAAGAACACCAGUGGCGAAGGCGGAUUACUGGACGACGACUGACGGUGAGGCGCGAAAGCGUGGGGAGCAAACAGG
rnacentral:rRNA from 1 species